AACGCACGAGACCUGCGGACCUGCGGAAGGAUCAUUAAUGAGAAACUGCCCCUCGCGGGUAGAUCUCCCACCCUUUGUAAACUUACCUUUGUUGCUUUGGCAGGCCCGUCUCCGGACUGCCGGCUUCGGCUGGCCAGUGCCUGCCAGAGGAUUCUAAAACUCUGUCUGUCAGUGUUGUCUGAGUCUAUAUACAAUCGUUAAAACUUUUAACAAUGGAUCUCUAGAUCGGAAGAGCACACG
rnacentral:misc_RNA from 1 species